AGUGAACGCUGGCGGCAGGCCUAACACAUGCAAGUCGAACGGCAGCGCAGCAGUAGCAAUACUGUGGGCGGCGAGUGGCGGACGGGUGAGGAAUACAUCGGAAUCUACCUUGUCGUGAGGGAUAACGUAGGGAAACUUACGCUAAUACCGCAUACGACCUACGGGUGAAAGCGGCGGACCGCAAGGCGUCGCGCGAUUGGAUGAGCCGACGUCCGAUUAGCUAGUUGGCGGGGUAAAGGCCCACCAAGGCGACGAUCGGUAGCUGGUCUGAGAGGAUGAUCAGCCACACUGGAACUGAGACACGGUCCAGACUCCUACGGGAGGCAGCAGUGGGGAAUAUUGGACAAUGGGCGCAAGCCUGAUCCAGCCAUGCCGCGUGUGUGAAGAAGGCCUUCGGGUUGUAAAGCACUUUUGUUGGGGAAGAAAAGACGCCGGUUAAUACCCGGUGUUCAUGACGGUACCCAAAGAAUAAGCACCGGCUAACUUCGUGCCAGCCGCCGCAGUAAUAC
rnacentral:rRNA from 1 species